rnacentral:rRNA from 1 species
UUUUGGACAAUGGGCGCAAGCCUGAUCCAGCAAUGCCGCGUGCAGGAAGAAGGCCUUCGGGUUGUAAACUGCUUUUGUCAGCGCCCCCAAUCUUCUGGGUUAAUACCUCGGGAGGAUGACGGUACCUGAAGAAUAAGCACCGGCUAACUACGUGCCAGCAGCCGCGGUAAUACGUAGGGUGCGAGCGUUAAUCGGAAUUACUGGGCGUAAAGCGUGCGCAGGCGGCUUUGCAAGACAGAUGUGAAAUCCCCGGGCUCAACCUGGGAACUGCAUUUGUGACUGCAAGGCUAGAGUACGGCAGAGGGGGAUGGAAUUCCGCGUGUAGCAGUGAAAUGCGUAGAUAUGCGGAGGAACACCGAUGGCGAAGGCAAUCCCCUGGGCCUGUACUGACGCUCAUGCACGAAA